GAUGAACGCUAGCGGCAGGCCUAACACAUGCAAGUCGAGGGGCAGCACAUAAAGUGGUUUACUACUUUUGGUGGCGACCGGCGGACGGGUGCGUAACGCGUAUGCAACCUGCCUCCAACAGGGGGAUAACGGAGAGAAAUUUCCACUAAUACCCCAUAAUAUCAGAAUCGGCAUCGGUUUUGGUUGAAAACUCCGGUGGUUGGAGAUGGGCAUGCGUUGUAUUAGAUAGUUAGUGAGGCAACGGCUCACCAAGUCAACGAUACAUAGGGGGACUGAGAGGUUAGCCCCCCACACUGGUACUGGGACACGGACCAGACCCCUACGGGAGGCAGCAGUGAGGAAUAUUGGUCAAUGGGGGCAACCCUGAACCAGCCAUGCCGCGUGCAGGAAGACGGCUCUAUGAGUUGUAAACUGCUUUUACAAGGGGAUAAAUCGGUGUACGUGUACACCGUUGAAGGUACCUUGGGAAUAAGGAUCGGCUAACUCCGUGCCAGCCGCCGCGGUAA
rnacentral:rRNA from 1 species